UUAACCGUAUAGGGGAGCCGGAGGGAAACCGAGUCUUAACCGGGCGUUAAGUUGCAGGGUAUAGACCCGAAACCCGGUGAUCUAGCCAUGGGCAGGUUGAAGGUUGGGUAACACUAACUGGAGGACCGAACCGACUAAUGUUGAAAAAUUAGCGGAUGACCUGUGGCUGGGGGUGAAAGGCCAAUCAAACCGGGAGAUAGCUGGUUCUCCCCGAAAGCUAUUUAGGUAGCGCCUCGUGAAUUCAUCUCCGGGGGUAGAGCACUGUUUCGGCUAGGGGGCCAUCCCGGCUUACCAACCCGAUGCAAACUGCGAAUACCGGAGAAUGUUAUCACGGGAGACACACGGCGGGUGCUAACGUCCGUCGUGAAGAGGGAAACAACCCAGACCGCCAGCUAAGGUCCCAAAGUCAUGGUUAAGUGGGAAACGAUGUGGGAAGGCCCAGACAGCCAGGAUGUUGGCUUAGAAGCAGCCAUCAUUUAAAGAAAGCGUAAUAGCUCACUGGUCGAGUCGGCCUGCGCGGAAGAUGUAACGGGGCUAAACCAUG
rnacentral:rRNA from 2 species